GGCUUGAUAGCUCAGUUGGUAGAGCACUGCACCGGCGUCGCAGAGGUCAUGGGUUCGAAUCCCGUUCAAGCCU
rnacentral:tRNA from 1 species